GUGGGUUUGCCUGAGAGGGCUCUCGGGUACACCAUGGAAGUCACGGAUCG
rnacentral:sRNA from 1 species